rnacentral:lncRNA from 1 species
CUCUGAAGCGCCGUAGCAGUUUGAUAUUAACCAUAUACUUCAACAAUGAGUUUAUAAGAACAACGCAAUAAUAUUGCGGUUGAAAUUGUAAUUGUUAAUCAUGUGUAAGUGCAAUACAUAAUUUAAGAAAAAAGACAGUUGCGAAGAUGAUUUCUUGAUAGGGACAACAGAUUUAAUUAUGUUGAAAAAAAAUCGGGAAAAGAUAGUAGAUAUAUAUUGCUGAGCAUUACUGUGAUUUUUCUGUAUUCACAUACUAUUCUAUUUUUACUGAACUAUACUAACUUUCUCUAGCAGGAGAUCUACUUUUAAAUUGGUGGUUGUACUAGCUCGAGUAGUUUUCUUUUUAGACUUCCUUUUGUAUGGAAACGUGCAAUUUAAUGCAUGUGAAUAUAACCAGAGUUUUAGUGAUGGAGGAAUAGCCUUCCGAUCUCCAUAGCUUAAUAGAAAUGUUAUUUUUAACUAAUUCUUUGUAUGGCAUAUGAGAUACUUCGAUUGGUAUGUGUGUAAAUGAUUAUCGUAACUUUAAUGAAUGUUUAGUAAUGUAAAACUUUCAGGAUGAAGUCGUCAAUAUUUUUACCUAAAAUCCCGUAUUACACAAACCAGAGUCAUAAAAUACGAACGCGAUUACUCUCAAUAGCUGAUUACAAUACGACAUAAGUAGCUUUUCGAAAUUACAAGCCCGAAUCCAGCAAUUUCUUCCAAAAUCAACUAAAUAUUACCUUCUAUUAAGACAUAGAUUAAAAAACCGACAAACCCUUCCUCUUAAAGUAUUGUAUACCCAUAACUUCUAAGACUCGUUUAUUAUAUUCCGCAAGUUAGAAAAAUAGCAAAAGAAGUCACUUCCUAACCUUUAAUACCUAAAAUCUCCCUUAAAGCAACUGGGUCGCUUACUGCUGCUCGCUUUUGUGCCAAAAAUUUUCUUCUGGUAUGGAAAUGAAUGCUAGCGGGUCGGUUGCCUUCUUUGACCUUCUCGACAGAGGAAGUGGACUCUGGUUUAUCCUUUAAUUUUAUUUUCUUUUUCUUUUUCUCUUCUUUGUCGCUUGAGCCUGAUUUUCUCUUUUUUGAAGAACUUUCCUUAUCCUUUUUCUUGUGCUCUUUUUUCUUCUUCUUCGUUAUUUUUUCCAACUUUUUAGGAUCAAGAGCCGAACCAGUAGAGGUCUUUUUCUUACUUUUCUUCUUAGAAGAGUGCUUCUUUCUUUUUUCACGCUUAGCUUCAUCGGAUGAAGACGCAUCUUCACAUACACGAUCCUCAUCCUCCUCUGCUUUUUGCAUCCAUUCAGAAAAUUCACUAGUAAACGUCCCACCCAAAACAAAUCGUCUGGAUAGCUCAAGUGAUUUUAAACCCUUCUCAUUCGCACUCUGUCUCUCGUAUGUUAGUUGCUGCACCUUUGCUUUCUCAGCAUAGACACCAUACGCAGACUCAUCGCCGUUAAGUCGACCAAAAAUAGCGUUGAAUUCACCUAAACCGCUCCAUUCAAGAUCGUUAGUUGCUUUGGCUCCAAUUCCCAGUGUAUCAUCUUUUAGGCUGACCUUGAUGUUAUGAAUGCGACCAUGUUGCUUUUCACCCAAGCCAUUACCAUUCACCCAACCGUAGGAGGAUAAAAGCUUAAAUCCCAAUCUAUUUGUAUCUUUUGCCCAUUUAGAAUUCCGAGGAUCCACACCAAUCUGUUGUUUCUUUUUUACACCAGCCAAACCCAUGAUGUCCUGUUAAUCUUCAA